UACAGAGGGGGCAAGCGUUGUUCGGAAUUACUGGGCGUAAAGGGCGCGUAGGCGGCCUGUUAAGUCGAACGUGAAAUCCCCGGGCUCAACCCGGGAACUGCGUCCGAUACUGGAUGGCUUGAAUCCGGGAGAGGGAUGCAGAAUUCCAGGUGUAGCGGUGAAAUGCGUAGAUAUCUGGAGGAAUACCGGUGGCGAAGGCGGCAUCCUGGACCGGCAUUGACGCUGAGGAGCGAAAGCUAGGGGAGCAAACGGG
rnacentral:rRNA from 1 species